rnacentral:rRNA from 1 species
UACGUAGGGUGCGAGCGUUAAUCGGAAUUACUGGGCGUAAAGUGUGCGCAGGCGGCGCCGCAAGUCGAGUGUGAAAGCCCCGAGCUUAACUUGGGAAUUGCGCUCGAAACUAUGGUGCUGGAGUGUGGCAGAGGAAGGUGGAAUUCCCGGUGUAGCAGUGAAAUGCGUAGAGAUCGGGAGGAACAUCAGUUGCGAAGGCGGCUCUCUGGACCAGCACUGACACUGAGGCACGAAAGCGUGGGGAGCAAACAGG